GUCAUUUAAGGGCCCAAAUGUGAGCACCUGGGUGUCAUCAUGGGGGUGUGCUACAGGUAGGGGGAGAGAGCCAUGCUCCUGCAGCUCAGCUGGUGGUGGCAGUGGCUGUCCCUGUGGCAGGGGCAGAAGCUGCUGCUGGAGGGAUUUGGGGUGCCCCAAAGAAGACCUCGUGGAAUGAACGUGACCCUGUGGUGGUCAAGACAGAGGGGAGAAAGCUGCAGGAGGAGGAGGUUGGGCUGUGUAGCACCAGGAGGAGCAAACAGGGAGAUAUUGGACCUUUUGUGGAGGUUUUAUGGAGCGCUGCUUGUAGUAUGACACAACUUCAUAAGGCUGAAGCUAAUUGAACAGACCACAGCAUUUGCCUAGGAGAUAUGCAUCACGCAUCCCCAUGGGCUGAAGAGUGGAGGGUGGCUUCAUUUUGCUGAGCUGGAUGUGUCCUAGAUGCUCGGCACCUGUGGAACUGCAGGGACCUUGAUGAACCGAGGGGAAAGACCAAGAUGAGUCCUCCAUGAGGAGUCAUCACCUUAGUCUCUACCCUGUGAAAAAUUGCAUACAUCGCAUCCUGUCAAAAAAAAGUCCAAUCGCUUCUUAAAUGCAGACAGGCUUGGUGCAGUGACUACUUCACUGGGGAGCCUGUUCCAGUGUGUGACCACCCUCUCGGUGAAGAACCUCUUCCUGAUGUCCAGCGUGAAGGUGGCAGCUGUGGGAGAUGGGCCCUGAAUAUCUGUGGCUCACUUGGUUGUCUGCCCAGAUUCACUUACCUGAAAGGAGUCAGUAGCUAAGGCAAUGUCUGCAGCUACUCGUGCAUUUUCUCUGGGGCAUUUUUCCAUGUUUGUUUUAUCCACCUGCAGUGUAAUUCUUGAGAAUUUCCUGCGUGUAAAGCAGGCAGGCUGAAAUCUCCUUGUGCAUCUCUUCAAGUCCCCAGGUUUCCUUGAAUAAGACAUGCUAAGAAACAGUUUCUCACCUUUUGUGUUGUGGGAAUUGAGAGCACUCAGCAUCUUGUAGGAAGUGUUUCACAUCUUGCAGAAGGAAACAGUUACUGAAUGUAGUUCAUCAAUGCAGAAUGCUGUGAUGUGAUUUAGAAGCUCAUUAGAGAUCAUAAUCAUAGUGGCAGAUGUUGGUUGAGACUAAGAACCAGCACAAUGGAAAAUAAGGAGCUGCUUGCCACAAGGUUGAUGAAGUUUUGAGGACACUUCCAGAAAUGCCUGAGUUCACAUAUGAUGUAGUUCACAUAUGAUGUGGAAGUUGUUCUCCAGGUUUCUAGGUGCAUAAAUCCCUUGAAAAAUAGGAUGUAAGUGCUCAAACACCUGAAGUCCUUGUCAAGAUAUGACUCCUUGCUUGUAAGGAGUAAAACUUCAAUGAAUGCGUGUCUAAUAAAGCCAGCAUUAAACUUGGAUACAAUGCUGUACUAAAGGAGUUUUAACCACAUACUUAGUGUG